CAAGACAAGUUGCAAUGACAAAAUAGUAAUGCAAAUGAAGUACUACAAUUUCAGAUCAUAGCCCAGAGCAGCAUGGAAAUGGAUAAAGAAUGUACAAAGAUGAAUUUUGAUCUAAUUGAACCAUUACAUUCAGAAACCAAAUGAAUCAGCAUCACAUCUAUUUGUUGAACAAACAAACAAAACUAACAUUAACUCUUCAUUUUCUAGCAACCACUAGGGGUGUGAGGAUCUGAAGAUACAGGACAAGGGGGGAUCCUCAAUAACAACCUCAGGAUAGGGGUAUCAACAGGGCAAGUUUUAGUGCUGCCAGAAGAAAUACAUCACCUGCUCAGAUAGAAUCUACCAAAUAGCCUAAUCAUUUUUUUUAAUGGAAAAAAUGCAACUAGAUCUGGGAACUAGUCAUACGUACCAUUCUCAAAAUAAAUAAAAUCAAAUCAAAUAAAUCAACCAUUGUGGAUUGAACCGUUGAAUGAGUUAUUUCAAUCAUAAACCACAUUAAAAGCUUACUUAAAAUCAAGGUGGUCAAAGUGUCUUAGAGACUGGCAAGGUACAAACCCUUCUCAAGUGCCUGGGAGAUGCCUAAACAAUUAAAUGGAAUCCCUAGAUAUUGCAGUAAGACAGUGGAAUGCUAUUCUAGAUAACUAUGAAAAAAUGCCAGUACAACACCCAAAAAAUGACUCAGCCUUCACCGAGAUUUGAAUGCAGGCCUGGAAAUGGACAAUCUCUGCAGAAGACUAAGAAAAAAGGCUUAACACAAAGCUUUAAAUUGAAACUUCAUGUGUUUGAUGAGUUACAUAUAGUCACAAUCAUAGUCUACUAUGCCAGUACCAGGCACCGGACCGGUUGUCCUGAGGGACGGAUCGGUACGGACCCGCGUCGUGCCAUGCCGGGCAUAUACCAACAUAGUAGAGGAGGCGGGGGAGAGGGCAAACGGGAGAAAAGAAGAGAGAGAGAGGAGGGAGAGAGGAGGGUGUCGGAGGCUGUCGGAGGCCGGCGCCCGGGCAGGAGGCAGAGGCCGCGGCCGAAUCCCCUGUCUUCGACGCUGGCUCUCCGCCACCCUCCCUCCCCGCUCCCUCUCCCUCCCUCCCUGCUACCUCUCUUUUGCUCUCUUUCCUUCUCCUUCUCAACGAUAAUGGGUUUUAUUUCCGUUGUCAGAACCGUCCCGGUCCGCCGCUGAGAUGGCUCGGUACAACCAGAACCGCCCAGUUUGGAAACCGCCCGAUUUGGGACAGUUCCGUUAAACCUGGUCACAAUCAUAUUUUCUGAUCCUUAGUGGUGUGAAUUUUGCAAAAAUAAAGUCAAGAACUACAGAAUGGUAUAAUAAAAUAGAAUAAUUCCAAAAUAACAACUAAAUAUUAAAAUGUCUAAACCCUUCAUACUAAAUUGAUUGGCGAUGAUCCUGCUUAUUUAAGCAAAUAACCUCCAAUUGGAUUCCCAUCGGAACAUUUAUAAACCCUCAAGCCAUUCAUCCAUGAAAUGCAAAUCCGGGGGUGCUACACCUUAGACAGUUCUUAACUUCAAUGUUACAAAACAAUGAGGUACCAUUAAGACAUUGAAAAUGGAUGAAUAUGUCGACUCCAUAACAAACCUCAAGAAACCCAAUCAGUUGGUUUCUCAUAGUUUCACGACACAUUCUAUCUCACGAUCAGGAUAAACAGAAAUUUGGACAUAGGUUUUCCAUUCUGCAACUGGUCUCAAGGAAAGCAUUAGCUGGCCCUCAGGAAAACUUUUCAAUGCAGUCAACUGCUCCUUGAUAGCAGUAAAGGCUUGUUGAUUAAGAAAAAACUCAGUGUCUAUUCAUUGAAGAAGACAGAAAUUUGUCAACAUUGCCCAACCACCCAUAAAUCAGACAUAAAAUCAUUUAUCUAAAUCAUAUGAAUAUGCUGUCUCUUCUGAACUAGUAGUCAUCUCACCCAAAUGCCAGCAGGCAGUUCUCUGUGUUUUUUCCCCCCCUCAAAAAUCAAAGACAGCAAGUCUAGAAGCACGCAAUACAAAAAUCUAUGUACGGCUAUGAAUAGGAUAAGAACUCCAAUCAAGGAGCGGAAUAAAGGAUAAUAACAGUCUCUGCAGGAGUUAUAAAUAAUAAAAGUAAUACAUUAAAAUUAAAGCAAUUAGAGAUAAAUUAGAAUUCUUUGAUAUCAGAUACUUGGAUGAUAUCCGAGCGUUACAAGUUUAGUGCUAUGGCACCAAAUCAUUCUGAAG